CACAAAUCCUAAAUUCACUGCACACACCACACACCAACCCAACGUAGGAUAGAGGAGUCCAAGGAGAGGGAUUUGCACACAAUUGCAGGGUCAAGCACUGCAAUCCACCAACCCUUUAUUCCACAUCAAAAAGGGUCAGCUCGUCAUUUGACCUCAAGCAACGACUCAUGCUCUGCUGGGAUAUAAUCAAUCCCCCAAUCUUUUCUUCUAUAGAGUCUGCAUAACGAUUCUCGUCUAAGGGUGGUCCAAGACUCUGCUGCGGCUGAGGUUGAUAUUGAUGUUGAUUUGGACAAGCUUGGCUUUGGUAACACUGAGGAUCUUGAGUUUGUCGGUUCCCUCCUUGCCAUGUUGGAGUAUAAUACUCUGCAUUGGGGAACCAUGGGCUAUAGGUUGACCUUGGAAGGGUGGAUAUUGGCUGGGAUAGUUUGCUUGAUAAGUCUGAUGACUGGGCUCGUAGUCUUGAAAAUCACAGUGAGGUUGUCAACCCGGUUCUUCAGCUACUCAUCGUCCUUCUCCAUGGGGGUACUCUCCACAUCGCCUUGGCACAGAGUUUCUAAUGUAUCAUCGUACCCUCUUUUUGCAUAGAGGUUUCUCUAGGGAAAUCUUGGCUUUACUUAACCGGAGCUGGGAAAAAUUUUCCCCACUUGAUUAAUUCACCAGGUCUUUCUUUUUCGCAUCCAUGCCAUCGUAGAACCUUGAAUAGAUCUCCACUUCCAACAUGUUGUGGUUUGGGCAUGCAUCCAGAAGACUUCUGUACCUGUGCCAAUAUUUGAUUAAGCUCUCAUCAUACCCUUGAGUGGCUUCCCUGAUUUCCUUUCGGAGUGCACUUGCCUUCGAUGUUGGAAGGAAUUGGUUGAGAAACUCCUAGAAUUCCGACCAUGUUUUGAUGGUGUUGGGUGAUAACCCUCUGAACCAAGUAUCUGCUUCGUCCUUUAAAGAGAAGGAGACGACCCUUAGCUUGAAGUCCUCCUCACUUGACCCAUUUGGCCUUUUCUGCACACCGCAGAUUUUUCGAACUCACGCAAGAACUUGAUUGGACUUUCGGUACUAGCUCCCAAGAAUGUAGGUAAGAUGAAAGGGAGACCACCGGCGACGGCGAGACCACAAGGGAGUAAUGAAAGGGAGUAAAAGAACUUAGGUUUAAGGCCGAGGGGCUGCCUCGAGACCACCGGCUACGGCGAGACAACAAUGGCAGCCGCGGGGACCCCGACGGGCAGCGGAGGCGGCGGCGGCGCUGGUCUGCGAAGCAGACUGAGCAGCGUCUUCCUAGGCCGGAUACGUCAGCGACGACACUGAGUCGCCGUGAAAGGAAGGGAGGCAGCUGCAGCAAAGACCGGCGCCUGUGCGUGUUUGGCGGCGGCGAUGCUGCGAAUUGCUGGUGAGAAAGGAUGGCGAGAGGAAAAGAGGGAGAGAAAUUUAAUCUCAUAUUUUGGAAUUUAGAGAGAGAAACACCGCCGGAGGAGGCGGUGGAGGACGGCGAGCACUGUGCAGGUGGUGUCAAUUUGGAUUGGGAGUGUAGUUCGGGGCAACAGAAAUUUAGUUUUGAAUUUAGGGGAUUUUGAUUUAAAGUUGAGAAGAAAGAGAGAGGAGGAUACGAUGGUAGUAAGGAGAAAGAUUAUGUAAAUCAUUGGGCCACCAACAAUUAGAUUGGGCUUCCGAAUUGGGCCAAGUGUUUUUACUGUGAUAAAUUUGGGGCUGAAGGAAUUAAUUAAGGAGUGGACUGAUUUUAUUUUAUUCAAGAAAUGGAAUGGAACUUAAUAAGUUGGACCA